rnacentral:rRNA from 1 species
GUCUAUGGCCAUGCCACCCUGAACAAGCCUGAUGUCUACUCUUGAAAGCUAAGCAGGGAAGGACCUGGUUAGUACUUGGAUGGAAGACCACCUAGGAAGACCAGGUGCUGUAGGCA